rnacentral:rRNA from 1 species
UACGUAGGGGGCAAGCGUUGUCCGGAAUCAUUGGGCGUAAAGCGCGUGUAGGCGGCUUGGUAAGUCCGCUCUGAAAGCCCGGGGCUCAACCCCGGGAGGCGGGUGGAUACUGUCAAGCUCGAGUCCGGAAGAGGCGGGUGGAAUUCCUGGUGUAGCGGUGAAAUGCGCAGAUAUCAGGAGGAACACCAAUGGCGAAGGCAGCUCGCUGGGACGUGACUGACGCUGAGACGCGAAAGCGUGGGUAGCAAACAGG